rnacentral:lncRNA from 1 species
CUGGAUACCCCUAUACAUAUAUAAAAUUAUGAGUAUAUGCUACAUAUAUGUUGGACGCGAUAAAAUUGAAGACAAUUUAAGUUGGCCGAGUGGUUAAGUGGUAUGUGGGUAUUAAAUUGGCUUGAGUUCUUGUCCUUGCAAUAGCAUUUGUUUUUAAUUUAUCUGUUUUGAUGAUUUUUUUAGUUUUCUAUUUUUUUCUUUAAAAAAUCAAUUUUACUGUGUAAAAACCCACACAAAUCAAGAUG